rnacentral:rRNA from 1 species
CCCUUAGAUGUCCUGGGCCGCACGCGCGCUACACUGAUGCAUUCAACGAGUGUUUUUGUUCCUUGGCCGAGAGGCCUGGGUAAUCUUUUGAACGUGCAUCGUGAUAGGGAUAGAUUAUUGCAAUUUUUAAUCUUGAACGAGGAAUUCCUAGUAAACGCAGAUCAUCAAUCUGCAUUGAUUACGUCCCUGCCCUUUGUACACACCGCCCGUCGCACCUACCGAUUGAAUGGUCCGGUGAAGCCUCGGGAUUGUGGUUGGUUCCCUUUAUUGGGAGUCGGUCGCGAGAACUUGUCUAAACCUUAUCAUUUAGAGGAAGGUGAAGUCGUAACA